rnacentral:misc_RNA from 1 species
UUCAUGGAGUAUGUUACAGAA